GUGCAUUAUAGUGGUCUGGGAUUUCCAUGGAAACACUGGCUUCAGCAUCUACGUUAAUGACCACUGUUUCUAAUCAAGUGCAAAACAUAGAGAGUGGAGCUGUCAGCCUUUGGGAGAUGAAGCCGACGAAGGUUCACUUGCAUCUGGCAGAGAGACUGUCAAGAAGCCCGGGCUGUCCAAAGGGCUUUUCUGCAGUGACAAGGUCUCUUUAUCCAGGCCAGGAGACCCAGGUUCAAGUCCCACCUGCACCAGAGUCGAGAGCCAGUGAAAUUUGACCCAAUUGUAACCAAUAGGGUUUUGAGGUAUUGGCAAUGCUGUCUUCAUCAAACUCAGUCACCUGAAAGAAAG